CACCGCGAUGGGAAAAUUGUGUACAUCACGAUUCCACUUCGAAUAUGGACGACCUGCGCUUGACCCACUGCGACCUCGAUGUUUCUUGGAACGGAGAUCAUGGUGGAGAGAAUGCAGUAUGUGCGCUGUUUAGAGGAAAUAAGGUGGUUUUAGGAAAAAUUUACUUCUAAAGUAAAUUUAAUAAUAAUCUAAUUUCUCUACUUUCUGUUUCUUCGUUACAGCAUUGUUUUUGUUUAAUUAAUGAUGUAAAUUUCUUUGGUAUAGUUCUACAUUCAAGAAAAGGAGUACCUUGCAUUUUUGGACUGUGUGGAUGAAGAUGAAGUGCAGAAUACUGGAAAUAAAGGUUCUUAGUUUGAUAAGCAGGUGAAAAAUAAAAAUAGAGAUCGAGGCAUCAUUCGAACAAUUACUACUUCUAUACUAAUUACAAAGGUUUCAAUUGCUCACAUUAUCAGUGAAGAGCAAAAGUAUCCAGAAAAAGAACUAGAC